AUUGAACGCUGGCGGCAUGCCUUACACAUGCAAGUCGAACGGCAGCACGGGGGGCAACCCUGGUGGCGAGUGGCGAACGGGUGAGUAACAUAUCGGAACAUACCCUAGAGUGGGGGAUAACGUAGCGAAAGUUACGCUAAUACCGCAUACGAUCUAAGGAUGAAAGUGGGGGAUCUUCGGACCUCAUGCUCAUGGAGUGGCCGAUAUCUGAUUAGCUAGUUGGUGAGGUAAAGGCUCACCAAGGUGACGAUCAGUAGCUGGUUUGAGAGAACGACCAGCCACACUGGAACUGAGACACGGUCCAGACUCCUACGGAGGCAGCAGUGGGAAGUUUGGUACAAUGGGGGCAACCCUGAUCCAGCAAUGCCGCGUGAGUGAAGAAGG
rnacentral:rRNA from 1 species